rnacentral:rRNA from 1 species
GUCGAGCGAACGGACGAGAAGCUUGCUUCUCUGAUGUUAGCGGCGGACGGGUGAGUAACACGUGGAUAACCUACCUAUAAGACUGGGAUAACUUCGGGAAACCGGAGCUAAUACCGGAUAAUAUUUUGAACCGCAUGGUUCAAAAGUAAAAGACGGUCUUGCUGUCACUUAUAGAUGGAUCCGCGCUGCAUUAGCUAGUUGGUAAGGUAACGGCUUACCAAGGCAACGAUGCAUAGCCGACCUGAGAGGGUGAUCGGCCACACUGGAACUGAGACACGGUCCAGACUCCUACGGGAGGCAGCAGUAGGGAAUCUUCCGCAAUGGGCGAAAGCCUGACGGAGCAACGCCGCGUGAGUGAUGAAGGUCUUCGGAUCGUAAAACUCUGUUAUUAGGGAAGAACAUAUGUGUAAGUAACUGUGCACAUCUUGACGGUACCUAAUCAGAAAGCCACGGCUAACUACGUGCCAGCAGCCGCGGUAAUACGUAGGUGGCAAGCGUUAUCCGGAAUUAUUGGGCGUAAAGCGCGCGUAGGCGGUUUUUUAAGUCUGAUGUGAAAGCCCACGGCUCAACCGUGGAGGGUCAUUGGAAACUGGAAAACUUGAGUGCAGAAGAGGAAAGUGGAAUUCCAUGUGUAGCGGUGAAAUGCGCAGAGAUAUGGAGGAACACCAGUGGCGAAGGCGACUUUCUGGUC